rnacentral:tRNA from 1 species
AUCUAAGUAGUUUAAUUGAGAAUAAUAAUUUGUGGAGUUAUAGGUGUAUUUGUACUUUAGAUC